rnacentral:rRNA from 2 species
UACGUAGGGGGCAAGCGUUACUCGGAAUUACUGGGCGUAAAGGGUGAGUAGGCGGCUGGGCAAGUCAAGGAUGAAAUCCCGAGGCUCAACUUCGGAACCGUCCUUGAAACUGCUCAGCUUGAGGGUAGUUGAGGAGAGUGGAAUUCCCGGUGGAGCGGUGAAAUGCGUAGAUAUCGGGAGGAACACCUGAGGCGAAGGCGGCUCUCUAAGCUACUCCUGACGCUGAAUCACGAAAGCUAGGGGAGCAAACGGGAUUAGAUACCCCGGUAGUCCUAGCCGUAAACGAUGGACACUAGAUAUUCCGGCGUUUUCGCUGGAGUGUCGUAGCUAACGCGUUAAGUGUCCCGCCUGGGGAGUACGGUCGCAAGGCUGAA